UGUAUCUCAAGAAUCCAUCAUGUCUACAAACAUACAUAGUUUCACAAGCCCAGUAUUACAGCACAACAAUCCUUCAUGUAUUCCACUAUUCCCAUGCACACAUAGGCAUACAUAUGUAGGUUCAUAGGUCCAGUAUUGCAUACGAGAGAAAAGCGCAAAAUACAACAUCUGGUUUCAGUUCGAAAAAGAUCCCAGCAGAAGAUCCUUUUAGCUCACAAAACACACCUCUUGAAAGUUGCGCAAGCAAAAGAAUUACACCGGUGACCUGUAAAAAAAGAAGCAGCCAAUUAGAUAAGCUCGAAAAAACACAUGUUCCACAAAUCCACUGCACAACUACUUGCAAGCAAGAGCAGGUCAGGAUUCCACAAGGCACACACAUAAUGUGUGUGCUUUACUCAUAAGAACAGAUAAGGCACAUGGUGAUCAUAGUCAAGGUUUUCACUUGGGAAAUCACCAAUAACUUACUUGGAUCAAGUUUUACUUUUUGAAUUUAAUACUCCCUCCGAUCCAAAUUAAUUGACGCAGCUAUAGUACAAAUUUGUAAUAACAUUUUACUAGAGUUGCAUCAAUUAAUCUGGAUCGGAGGGGUAGAAGUAGCAUACCAAUUCCAGUUAAGUAAAAAAUGCAUUUCUUUUGGAACUCACCUAGAAAGAGUUGAUGGAUAGAAUGGUAGCAAGUUUACCAAACUGUCACCUCGCAAGUCCCUGGUUGACAUACAAUAGCAUGUUAG
rnacentral:lncRNA from 1 species